rnacentral:rRNA from 1 species
AUAGUUAUGUUCUUGAACUUAAAAAAUUUGGCGGUAUUUUAUUCUAUUCAGAGGAACCUGUUCUAUAAUCGAUAAUCCACGAUGGACCUUACUUAAAUUUGUUGUCAGUUUAUAUACCGUCGUUAUUAGAAUAUUUUAUUAGAAUGUUAAUAUUCAAAAUUUUUAAUUAAGAAAAUAUAUCAGAUCAAGGUGUAGCUAAUAUUUAAGAAGAAAUGGGUUACAAUAAAAUUAUUUAUAUGGAUAUAAAUUUGAAAUAUUUAUUGAAAGUGGAUUUGAUUGUAAAAUUAUAAAGAUAAAUAAUUUGAUUUUAGUUCUAAAAUAUGCACAAAUCGCCCG